UGUUGUAGGAAGCCAACAACGCACAGUAUACCACAUACGUUGCCAGUUAGAUUAAUAGGAUAAUAGUGAAGGAUGUUAGAUAUUCACGAACAGUGCUCUCGGAUCCGCUGAAGUAAUCACCUGCAGUAAGUAUGUCACCGACGAGCGUGCACGAGCUUGUCGUCGUGCACACGCAAAAUUAGCGUCGUUAACGCUCGCGUAGAAACCGCCGAACUUUUGAUUCACCGUAUUUUGCGUGUACAUCUCUUCUCCCGUAAAAGUCAGUCCGAAGCCUUCUGCGGACGGAAAAGAGUGCAUGGCACCUUCUACAUUUCGCAAAGUGGUGAAAGAAGCAAGACAUUAGCAGUAGCCCGCUAAUUGAAAAGUAAUUGCUCCUCGAGCGACGAAGAAGAUACAUCUCUGAAGUUUCACGUGAAGAGUUUUGAAGAACGAAAGGAGGGAAAAAAGGAAGGACAUUUUGUUACUUCAGUUUUUACUACUUCAUGGGAUUCCAUCAUUGAUGGAUGCUUGUUACAAUGCACGACGGAUGAAUAAUUAACAGUGCGAAUGCAUGAUUCAUGUACACAUAUCGCAAUCGACUGACUAACGCUCCACUUUGUAAUUCCAUGGAACAUUGGAGACGUAUUUACUUAUGAUAUUCCACGGUCGCGAUCGCGGUUAUCUUGGUAAACUUGAAGUAAUUUUAAAGCCGACACGUAGUCGAUAGAUCGUAGACAACGCUCGUUAUCUCGUAAUUAUCGUGCUGGGAAUAAAUGUACGACUCACUAAGUUAUUAGCAGGAAUAAUUCGCCGUCGACGUCUCCUCUUCCUCGACGAAAUCUAUUAUAACUGACACAACUCUCCGCGAAAUAUCACGUCGCCGUCGCGAUUAAUCGCGCGGUGUAAUGGUGUCGCCGUUAAUCGUUGAUCGAACCGCCUCAGUACUUUUAUCGGCGUUAUUGUUUUUCAAGAUUUUUCCGUGCUACGAAUUAUAUUUCAUGCUACAUUUCAUGCUACUCGAUACAAUAUUUUACGUCAGGCGGGACUGUACAAGAGAGGCUCUGAUCUCGUGAUCGAUUUUAUGAACGUUAGAUUUUCUGAACAAAUUUUUAACGUACAGUAUGUAUGACGACAACUAUGAACGACCAAAAGUUAUGAUAAUAAUUGUUAUAAGAUAAUUGCAAAGUAAAGAUGUAAAAAGCGUACAACGGAAAUAUCUUAAAAACUGUAACUGUAAUUUUUUAAUAUUUCUCUCGCUCUUCGUCGAAAAUACGUUGAAAAAUCAUAAUAAAUCGCAAUAAAAAUUACUUAUCAAUACCACGAACACAACAAAUGCUGCACGAUCAAGGAUCGAUCGAUAGGUUGGAUUGCGACUUCCUCAGUGAAGAGUGAACGGAUUCUGCCGUUGCUGUCGAAAAUCCGAAUGAUCGACGUGUAUUUGCGAGUGAAUCGAACGAGAUUGAUGGACGUUUAUGGUACAUCCCGGCGCAGUGUGGGGAUAAUUAUACUUUGGAUUGAAGUCUCCUUUGUGUGCUUGGAUCCUCUUUAUAAAGGAAACCGGAUAUUGCAUUUGCAGAGCUCUGAUUGGCAGCCCGACUACGCAGUAACGUUUCGCACAAUUGGAACUUUGUAAUUAUUGUUUCCGGCUAAAUACGUACAGAUGGAAAAUUUAAUUAACUACGCUUCCGCGAUGCAAAAGGAAUAAAAAAAAAACAGCGGAAAGUGUCGCUCUCGAUACGCUGAUCCAAUACCAAGACUGGACUCUCAAAGGGGAGUUGAACUGUCAAGAGAAUACAAAUAUCGAUAAUACGUACCACACACGCCAUGGGAAUUUGAGAUUGCGACUUCUACUGGAAACACGUUACGUUCGUUUAAUACGAAGAUCAGCGCCUAAUUAAUGUACAUCAAAGAACAUGUUUUGACUUUACAUUUACAGGAUAUUUCAUUUGCCUCAUUUAAUUACUCACUUAUUUAAUAACCGCUUUUAUAGAACCGCUUGUUACCGUACAAGUCGGCGAUGAAUCUUUCCUUUUUUCCUCAGUACUCGAUUUUACUAAAUUUAUUAUUAAUUUAAUAGUACGUUAAGAGUACAAUUAACGCAUUAAUCUUUACAGUGCAGCAGCUUUUAUGGCACGACCGUCAUGUCUAACGCCUUCUGACUCGCCAUAAGCUACCCAUGGCGAUUUCCACACGCCUCGCGAAAAAGGCUCGAGAAAUCUGCUCCGAGCUACUCUCUCGGCGCUAUGGGGAACUUACCCUCGAGACAUUAUGAUUGAUGUAAUGUAAUGCCUGCGAAAUUGAUCGGAAAUUGCGCGCGCGCAUAUUCACGCGCGCGUUCCUUCAACAAUUACAACCAGUUUUAUCGCGGAAAUGGCGGGGCACGAGCGUAAGGAUAUUCGCGGGCCGCUCCGGCCGGCGUGAUACGCCGUAUGAAAUAAAAAGGAACGCCGCUAGACAAGCUGCGGAUCAAGAAAUAAAAAGGGAACGGGAAGCUCGGCGGUGCUCGACACGGCGAAGAUUAUGGUGCGAUUUUUGUUCCACGGGGUCGGCACGGCGAGAAAAAUCCUUGGCCGGAUCCCCGAUACUGUGUUGAAAAUACAGCGUUCCAGCACGCACUGGCAGUACAUUAAUUUCCAGAACUUUUUGAAUGUUGAGAGAGCAGCGGCGCGUUUGAAAUACUCUCCGGGGAAGAAAUUGUAAUGCAACAGUCGCAUUCAUGCAAUAAUACGCGGGUGAUUCCUUGCUAAAAGAUUUCAGGGAUUUAUUGAAAUCAUCGGAGCAUUUAAAAAUGCAAAUGCGAGGCACGUAAUAAUAUUCGCGUUUACAUUGUUGCAGCAAAGGGAUCGUUUGGAACGAGUAAAGCACUGCGAAGCGCUUCUCAAACGAACCGUUGAACGCGCGUAGAAAAAUAUUAAAUCAGCUGAAUACAUAACGUUUUAUUGAAGCGCACGAAGCCGCUUUUAUCGUUGAAACGAUCGUGUUGCAGCACAGUAUAACGCGCGGUGCUACGAUGCCGCUUAACAAUGAGCGUUUCACACGAUAAAUAAAUCACCAAGAUAUUCUCAGCGGCUAUGCACACGCGCUUGGCACUAUAUUCCCUCUAACAUGACUUACUUACCUGUUGUAAAUCCAAUAUUCAUGACAAAUACGGAUAAUUAAGCGAUAUUCUGAGAAAUGUUACGAGUUCGUAAAACGUGCAUUCCAACGAUACUAUAAAAAAAUUUGGCGCGGCUAUUAUAGAAACGAUAUAAUAACGCAGAUACACAAUGUAAAUCAUUUUACUGAAAUGGUAAUUUAAAUUACGCAGCGAGAUUAAUUGAUUCAUUAUAUAGAGCGGAUAUAUUUGUCGAUUACGAUGAUAUCGUUUGUAAGGUAAUAUGCGCAUGACGCACCAAACAACAAAAAAAAGACAACAAAAAUGUAAUACGUGUAAUAGAAAGGAGAGGAUAUUUGUAUUCAGUUUUAA